ACAAACUAUAGCAAAAUCAUGAUCAUAAUAAAGACAGCUGUUUAGAUAUAUGCGUGGACAUACUUGCCGGAACAGUGCGAUUCUCGCUUUAGGAACUUGUAAAGGCUGCAAUAGGUUUUGACAAGUAUUUAAGUACAACACAAAAUUGUGAGUCAGCAAUAGCAGUUUACUUAAAAUUGCAAAACUUUUAUUUAGAAAUGAAUUGAAUCAUAGGAAAGCUACAUUACAGUUGAUAAAAGUUCAAGUUAACCAAAUGACUUCGAAAUAACUUUAUUAAAUUAUAAGUGUAUUAUUACUUAGUCUUCAAUGGUUUGUAAAGAAGACAAAAUGACUGAGAGAUCUCGAUUGGAAAUUAACAUCAGAAGACUGCUGGGGCAGUGUGAAUUGUUAGCAAAAGAAGAUCUCACCAGAGAUUGGAAAUUAGAAGCGUACAUUGAUUCUGUACAAGAUAUGAUAGAAAAACUUCAAACCUCACCAGCAAAGCCAUGCAGAGAUGUUAUGGUCAAAUACAUAAGGAGAGUAGAAUUUUUAAAAGGUGUUCUGAAUACUAAAAAACUGGAGAACCCUGUAGAAAGAGCAGUUGCUGCUCAAAUGUUGCCUACAAACAUGCCAAAUGAAUCAACCGAUGGACCCAGUAUAGCAACUCAAAUACAGCAGAAAACUACAGCAAAAUAUGGAAAAGAAAUACGUAAUGAAUUAUUCCAAACCAGUAUAGGCACAGACGAAGGAAUGAGACAUAGACUUCUGAAUACUAAUGGUCAAAGUGAAGACUUGGAUGGCCUGUUGAAAUAUAAUCGCAAUGCACAGGAAAAAAUAGCUGAAAAUAUGAUUCUAAUGACUAGAGGUUUGAAAGAAAAUGCUCUAGUGGCAAGUGAAAUAAUUAAAAAAGAUGUAGUCUCCUUGGAAAAGUCUGAUAAAAUGACUGACCAUAAUACAACCAAAUUGAAGGCAGAAUCUUUAAAACUAGAUGAGCAUAAUAAAUCUCCCUGGAGGUGCUGGCUAUGGAUGAUAGUUGCAUUUGUAAUAGUUGUAUUCUUAAAUAUGGUACUUUUUAUAAAGGUGGCAAAAAAGAGAGUUUAAUAGGAUUCCCAAAAAAUAUUUUUGUACAAAGAUAUAUUUAAUUAUGUUAAUAAAAUAUUGCUCUUUCUAUUUCAAAUUUAUCCAAUGAUUUGACAAUAGUUUUAGUAUACGUCACUGGCAUGACACAUACUGUACUAUGUGAAUGAUACUGUUAUGAUUAUUAAACGGUCUACAAUGGCUGCCACAGUAAAUACACCAGGACGUCCUGCACCUCCAAAACCAGUUUCAAAACCUGGAAAGGUAAAAGUAGUGAGAGCGCUGUACAAGUACACAGCGCAGCAUAGUGAUGAAUUAUCCUUUGAAGAAGGUGAUCUUCUCUAUGUUUAUGACAGUGGACAGUCCAGUGUCAGUAAUCGAUUACAAGCUCGAUGUGGCAAUAAAAAAGGAUGGAUACCUGCUAACUAUGUGGAAGAACAAGUGGAAGAAAUAGUUCUACCACUGCAUGAAGCUGCAAGGAGAGGAAAUAUAUCCUUUCUACGAGAAGGUUUGAGCAGUGGAGUAUCUGGAACUGGAUUAGAUUCAGCAGGCAACACACCUUUAUACUGGGCUGCACGUGCUGGACAUGAAGACUGUGUUAAAUUACUACUAGAAAUACCAAAUCCUGCUGUGAAUGCUCAG